AUAGAACCUACUGGGGAGGGACAAAGACCCAGAGACCCAGAGGGAGACACUGACACAGAGAGAGUGAUAGAGAGAGGAGGGGAGAGGGAUGGAGAGAGACAAAGUCACAGAGAUAGAUGGAGGGGGAAGAAGGGAGGAGGGAGAGAGAGAGGAGAAAAACAGAGACAGUUGACAGAUUAGGAGAGGUGCUUCUGGUGCUGCUGGUUGUGCUAAGAAAAGGCAUGUUUCUCUUUGGACAGAUGUGCUGCCAGUGCUGGAAGUAGGCUGACUGUGUCUCUCUCCCUGCUCUGAGCCUGGCACCAGAUUUGGCAAAACCAGACAGAGCAAAAGCUGCUUCCAGCCCACAGCACCCAAGGCUGGUCUCCUCUUUCAUUGCAGGGCUGCUAUGUACAGUUGCACGGGCUGUGCCCUGCACCAAGCACCCAGAAGAGGAUACAAGAGCCUGCCUGUGCUCCUUGAAGUAUCCCUGAGCCCUGAUGAGCCCCUGUGUCUACCUGGAGAGAGGGGAGCCUCUGCUCACAUGAGCAAAGGCAACAGGGGGACUGCAGAGGCCUGUUCCCUCCCACAGUCUCUAUUUUGCAAUAAGGACAUCAACUGGGAGUGGCCCAGAAGCCCGAAGCUGAGAGGACAAAGCUCACUGGGCCCACUCAACAUGAAGAUGACAAGGAUGAAGACCUUUAUGAUGAUCCACUCCCACUUACUGAAUAGAUGAAGCUUCUUGGUGACGUAACAGUCUGUGGAAACUCCCACAGGACAAAUGCAGAAAGGAAGGACCUAGAUCACUGGAUGGCCAACGUUGCCCCUUGCACAGCAGCAAAGGCCUAUACAAAUUUUUUGAGUAGCUUUAUCUAGUUGUCCAGCUACUGGGAAUAACUUGUAAAAUCCCCUGGAUAGUCAACAGCAUUGGGGCUUGCUUUGUAAACAGAGACCUGACCUACUUAAUUCUUCCCAGGGGUUGGAAAAGGAGGCUUGACUCACACAGACAUGAAACCUUGGCUUAAUUGGACACUAAUUACUCAUAAGAGAUCUGUUUACCCAAACUUCCCCUAGACCAAGCUCAGUAUAAAAUGAGAGGAUGCAUAAAGAAGCAAGAUAUUUAGAGGAAAAUGUCACAAAUACAUUUAUCAGUCCCAAAAGUCCUUUUUUUUUUUUUUUCCCAGAAGUGAUGUUGCUAAUUGCACAAAAAUAAACAGUACAGGGGUUGAUAAAUUCCACAUUUAAGGGCUGAGAAUAGUGUCCCUACAUUUCUAAGAAGCUGUAUAUUUGGAAAUGAAUACAAUUGAAAAUAAGGAUAAUUGGCAUUCUAAAGCCAAUUGGAUAACUUGGAUGAAAAAGCAGAAUUUACCAUAUUUUGAUAUGUUUCUUUUUGAUUAAAGUAUCUGUAAAGGAAACAAAUUAUUGUAUUGCUACAGAUUUUAUUACUGAACAAGAAAAAAAGGCCUGAUGUUGUGCAUUUCCUUUUGGCCUUUGGUCUUGGCUGAUGUUGGGCAUCCAAUAAGCUUCUUUGUCUUGAAUGAAGACUUAAGAGGGAGUGAAAAGUAGGAAGAGCAUCAAAACUUCUUUGCAGGUUGUAAUCGAAGCACCUACUACUUAUUGUCUUACAGUCCAUUUAUUCAACAAAUGGAACAUCUCAAUUGCUCGAUGCUAUUACAGACACUAGGUAUAGUCUUAGACAAAAUAAAUUGCUGUUUUUAUAUAGCUUGUAUUAUGGUUGAUGGAGUACAGUCAAAAUUAUUUAAAUAAAGGAAGAUGUGAGGAAGACUUUGAACUUAGAAAUCUGGGUUCUCAUCCAAGCUUUGCUGCUAGCUUGUUGGGGGAACCUUGGGUGAUGAGUUGGUUGACUCCUUCCGGAACUCAGCGUUCAUCCAUCAAGUGAGGGAACUUGACCAGAUAUUCAAUAAUGGCCCUUCCAGCCCCAUCUUUAUAUGAAAGGGAAACCACAGUAUGGGCCCAUGGGGAAGAUCAUGGACUUUGGAGUAAAACAUUUCUGACUUGGUCAAUUAUUUAAUCUCUUGAUCUCGAUCAAUUCAUGUAACUACUCUGACCCUCAGUUUCCUUGCUGCAAAAUGAGAUACUAAUAUUUGCUCAAAUAAGAUAACAGGCAAAACAAUCAUGAGGCUCCUGGCACACCACUGUGCAUGGCUUUUGCUCCCUUGGGGAGCUUAUAAAUGAAAAAAGAUUUUACAAUGCAAAGACAGUAAGCAUUUUGUUAGUGAAGCAAUAAAAUAAUUGGGCAAUUUCCUCUCAAUUGCACCAUCAACUGAUGCCCAACCUAGAAAGCAUUUGGCUAAGAAUGGAAAAGGAAUCUGUGCCCAGAUCCCUCAAUUUUGACCUCAUGGUAUAUACAUGAAUUGGCAGACUAAAUUUAUGCUCCUUUUGAAAACUGUGUCCAUUCCAAGAAGUCAGGAUAUUUUCACCCAGCCUGGCCUAGGCAGUGGGACUCCCCAAGGCUACAAGCAGAGCCACAGUGCUCUGGGCUGGGCUGCCACACUGUCAUGCUGGGACAAAGAUGGCAGCAGACAGCUCUCUUGGGUAACAGCAGGAAGCUCUUGUCACAAGAGUGAUCUCAUCUCUUAGGGGACUAUGGUAGAAACACAGGGCAAAAGCUAUAGGAAUGGUCCAACAUAAUAACUAUGUUUUUUUUUUUUAAUUUUCAAAAUGUGAUAAAUGAUUAAGAAUAUAAAACUGGAAUUUAGAACUUACAGAGAACUCGUAUGAAUAAAAAGACAACCUAAUUUUAAAAUGGGCAGAAGUCUUGGGCAGGCACAUUACAAUACAGCAGGGGUCACCAAAUUAAAGCCUCACCAGCAAAAUCCACCUCCCAUCCCAGCCUGUUUUUAUAAAUAAGCUGUGUUGGAACACAGCCAAUCCCAUUCAUUCACACAUUGCCCAUGGCUGCUUUUGCUUGACAACAGCAUAGUUGAGUAGUGGGGACAAGACCAUAUGACCUCCAAAGCCAGAGAUAUUAACUAUCAGGCCCUUAAUAGAGUGAUUCAGAGAGACCCCCAUAAUGGAGGAAAAUACAAGUGGCCAAUAGCACAUAAGAAGAUGCCCAGUAUUACAGCUAAGAGGAAAAUGCAAAUUACACCCACAGUAAGAUACCAUUAUGCACCCAUUAGAAAGGCUAAAAUUAAAAGGACUGACAACAACAAGUGUCGGCAAUGGUGGGCAACAGCAAGAGCUCUCAUACACUGAUGGUUGAAGUGUAAAUUGGUUCAGUUUUGGAAAACAGUUUGGCGGUGUCUACUACAGUUAAACAUACAUAUUUCCAUGCCCCAGAAACUCCUGGGCAUAUUCUCCAAAGAAAUGAGGGCUGUGGCCACAAAGAGAUGUGUGAGAAAGGUCCUAGCUCCUUUAUAUAUCAUAGUCCCAAACAGAAAACAACACAUACCCAUCCACGUUAGGAUGAACUACAUAAAUCGGGGCAUAUGCAUUCAAUGGAAUAGUACAUAGCAAUGAAAAAAAUAAACUGUUGCCCCAUGCAAAGAUGUUUCACAGACGUAACGUUAAGCAGAAGAAAGCAGAUCUCAAGGAGCCCACAUUGUACAAUUCCAAUCUAUAUGAAGCUCAAUAACACAUGGUACUAGAAGUUGUAAUAGCAGUUACCUGUAGGACCGGGGGUUUGUAUUGAAAGAGAAGGAAUAUCAGGAAGUCUGCUGGGCCUGGAAAUGUCUGAGAUGUUGCUCUGGGAGGCAGUUGCAUGGCUGUAGACGUAUGUAAGACAUUAUUGAAUGGUAUACCUGAGAUUGGAGCACCUACAAUAGAAGGUACAGUGUUACAUCUCUGUGAAAAAGAGAAAAUAUUAAAGAAGAAAAAGACUGUGGAUCAUUUUGGACUUGAACCUUAUGCAGUAGUGGGUACUACAGAGUCAUGUCUCAACUACAAUUCAAACUGCAAUACCUUUUAAGCUUUGUGUUGAAAAGAAUGAAUAUUUGGGAAUGUAAUUCUCUGUUUGUGAUAAAGUCCUCCAUAAUAACCGAUUCAAAGCAAAGGAGAAUACAGUUUCCCCUGGUGCCCUGCCCCUGUCUCGGAUUGGUGCAUGUUUGUUGGGACAUCUACCAGAGGGGAUUAAUGCCCCAGGCUAAUGCCACUCCCUGUGCCCAACUCAUGUCAGGUGGCUGGGGGGCAGGCAAUCCAGAGCCUUCUUGCUUCCCCAGUGAGGGAUGGACAGGAGGAAGCACCCUCCAAAGGGCCGGCCUGUCCCAUGGAUUGUCCAGGAGGAGGACAACACAAAGGCAAGGUCGUUUCUCGGUGAGCCCAUGCCUGGCCUUGCAGAGCAAAUACUGGGGAUCAUGCAUCACGCCUCCAACAGGGAAGUGGCCCCACGCCCAUAAACCACAGGAUGCCAGGGAUGUGGGAUUGGAGUGGCCCUGUGGGUUUUCUCAAUGAAGUAAAUACCUCCGAGGAAAUUUGGGUCCUCUACCACUCUCAGUCAGUUGCUUCCUGACUGGUCCAUACGUGCUGGGAUUCUGGGUUCAACGGGAUCAUACCAUCGUGGAGGGCUGGAGCCACAUCAGAAAUGUCCCUGUAGCUCCUGCCUCCACAACUACAGGCCUGUAACGCUGCUCGCCUUAAGUGGUUAGUUAACACAGUGCAUGGAUGGUCUGGUCCACAAAUGCCUUUUCCAGGUGUAUUUGACUUACAGCCAUCUCUGUUCUCACUACGAAGACAGGAGAGGAGCUUCACAGAGGUGAAGUCAGUGGAAGAUGCUCCAACCCUCCUUUGAACACACCUGCAACAAGGAAACCUAUCUGAUUUCCCCAGCUUUCCUCCCUCUUGUCUUGUGGCAGAGCAGUGCCUCCCUGCCGCUGACUUAGAGCAAACCAAACACAAUUGGACCUGUUUUCACCGAGCAACUUGCAGUGUUUUGCCCAUAUUCCAGCAGUGAACUCAAUAUCAUUGGAUGAGUUCAUAAUGCAUGCAUUUGUUCAUACCAGGGAAUUCCCUGGAAGGUUACUUGUAAAAUAAAUAUCUAACGGGGGAAU
rnacentral:lncRNA from 1 species